rnacentral:rRNA from 1 species
CGGACGGGUGAGUAAUGUCAGGGAAACUGCCCGAUGGAGGGGGAUAACUACUGGAAACGGUAGCUAAUACCGCAUAACGUCGCAAGACCAAAGAGGGGGACCUUCGGGCCUCUUGCCAUCGGAUGUGCCCAGAUGGGAUUAGCUAGUAGGUGGGGUAACGGCUCACCUAGGCGACGAUCCCUAGCUGGUCUGAGAGGAUGACCAGCCACACUGGAACUGAGACACGGUCCAG